AUUGAACGCUGGCGGCAGGCCUAACACAUGCAAGUCGAGCGGAUGAAGGGAGCUUGCUCCUGGAUUCAGCGGCGGACGGGUGAGUAAUGCCUAGGAAUCUGCCUGGUAGUGGGGGAUAACGUCCGGAAACGGGCGCUAAUACCGCAUACGUCCUGAGGGAGAAAGUGGGGGAUCUUCGGACCUCACGCUAUCAGAUGAGCCUAGGUCGGAUUAGCUAGUUGGUGGGGUAAAGGCCUACCAAGGCGACGAUCCGUAACUGGUCUGAGAGGAUGAUCAGUCACACUGGAACUGAGACACGGUCCAGACUCCUACAGGAGGCAGCAGUGGGGAAUAUUGGACAAUGGGCGAAAGCCUGAUCCAGCCAUGCCGCGUGUGUGAAGGUCUUCGGAUUGUAAAGCACUUUAAGUUGGGAGGAAGGGCAGUAAGUUAAUACCUUGCUGUUUUGACGUUACCAACAGAAUAAGCACCGGCUAACUUCGUG
rnacentral:rRNA from 1 species